rnacentral:tRNA from 1 species
GCGCCCGUAGCUCAGGGGAUUAGAGCACAACGCUACGAACGUUGGGGUCGUGGGUUCAAAUCCUGCCGGGCGCACCA